rnacentral:rRNA from 1 species
UGGGGAAUAUUGCACAAUGGGCGAAAGCCUGAUGCAGCAACGCCGCGUGAGUGAUGAAGGUCUUCGGAUUGUAAAGCUCUGUCUUUUGGGACGAUAAUGACGGUACCAAAGGAGGAAGCCACGGCUAACUACGUGCCAGCAGCCGCGGUAAUACGUAGGUGGCGAGCGUUGUCCGGAUUUACUGGGCGUAAAGGGUGCGUAGGCGGAUGUUUAAGUGAGAUGUGAAAUACCCGGGCUUAACUUGGGUGCUGCAUUUCAAACUGGAUAUCUAGAGUGCAGGAGAGGAGAAUGGAAUUCCUAGUGUGGCGGUGAAAUGCGUAGAGAUUAGGAAGAACACCAGUGGCGAAGGCGAUUCUCUGGACUGUAACUGACGCUGAGGCACGAGAGCGUGGGUAGCAAACAGGAUUAGAUACCCUGGUAGUCCACGCCGUAAACGAUGAGUACUAGGUGUAGGAGGUAUCGACCCCUUCUGUGCCGCAGUAAACACAUUAAGUACUCCGCCUGGGAAGUACGAUCGCAAGAUUAAAAC